UACGGAGGGGGCGAGCGUUGUCCGGAAUUACUGGGCGUAAAGGGCUCGUAGGUGGCUAACUAAGUCAGACGUGAAAUCCCCAGGCUUAACCUGGGAACUGCGUCUGAUACUGGAUGGCUUGAAUUCGGGAGAGGGAUGCAGAAUUCCAGGUGUAGCGGUGAAAUGCGUAGAUAUCUGGAGGAAUACCGGUGGCGAAGGCGGCAUCCUGGACCGAGACUGACACUGAGGAGCGAAAGCUAGGGGAGCAAACGGG
rnacentral:rRNA from 1 species